UCCCUGUUGUUACAUUUACCUUGCCAUGAUCAGAUAUAUUUAGUGUGUCUCUUUUGUUUAAAAGCAGAGGUUGAGACUGAUUCUGGAGAUUAUAAAACAAAAAAAGGUUGUGUGGUACAAUGAGGCAUCACAGCAAGGCAGAAGAAAUAAGGGAGGCCCGGAGACACGCUAACUCAUCCCCAGAGCACUGCCAGCCUCUCAGAAGCCAGGCUCUGCAUCACCAGAAGGCCUCCUGCCCUGACUGGACGUCACACUCCUCCUGAUGCAGCCUUCCACCUUUUGCCCAAAGGCUCAAUGAGCCACCAUGGAGGCUCAACCCUCAGCCCGUGCCUUAUGUGACCUGCGUUGUGCCCCGGGGGUGCCUGUGGGGACAUGGUCCAGAUUGAUGCAGCAGCAGGGAAGGCGCAGGCCUCUCAGCCUCCAUCCUAAUGCCCAACGUCCCUACCUGCUCUUAGGCCAAACUUCUCUUAACACAAUGGCAGAACGUGGCCCAGCAUUCAGCACUCGAGAAAUUUUAAAAAUAGCAGUGCCUCAAUUAAAUUGAGGGUAUGAAUCCAGCAGUGGCCAUACCUUCACAGGGGCAAGCAUUUAUCCCUCAUUUCAUCACCCACAGUCAGUUUGUAUUUGGCCAGGACCAAGACACAAAAUGUAUUUGCGUGCUCAAUCAUUUAAAGCAAGCAAAAAUCAGUUACAAGAACAACAACAAAAGUAUGCAUUUUGGUCAACAUAUGGCUGUGUAAACAGCAUCUGGCUCCCAGAUAACACUUAUGGGCAAUUAAGUUGAAGCACGGCUGUGGUCCUGCAGUAAUCUCACAUGCAGUUACAUACAUAAGAUUUGGAGAAGCAGGGCUCCAGUUCCUGUCAAAAGAAAAAAGUUUUCCAGGGUACUGUGUUAAACACAUUUUCAGCUCAUCCUUUAGUAAGUCUCCGGGUUUAAAUCCCAUUCUCAGCUGCUUACACUCUUAAGUCUUUGCAUUCAAGCUGCAGAACGUGUAUUUUCACAUUACUUUUGCUUUGAAACUGGGACCGUGCAGUAUUGUGAUUUAAAGAUUCAGAGCUUUAUUUCUCAUGUUUUGUAAUAACGUUGUACCAUAGUUUUGUACAUAGCUGUCAAUUUAAAAUGAUCUAUGUUUGUUGAAUCUAUGGUGUGAUACCGUGCUGAACAUGAAUCAAGCAGAAGAGAUUGUUACACUUAAAGAACUAUGCCUUUGUAUGGUAACCUGCUCUGUCUAGACUAAUGUUCAGGAUAAACCUUAUUUUGCUUUGCACAAUAGGAAUAGCAACAUCCUUCCAACAUUGAAGACUUUGCUGGACUGAGGUAGAUACUAUGCCAAGAAUUAAAUCACUGGUUUAUUUUAACCAAAUCAUUGUUACUGAGAAUUGUUAACAAAAGCAAAGAUGUGUUUGGAAUAGGUGCGUGGGCAGACUCAGCUCAGGAAGCCUUGCAGAGCAGCACAACCGUGUUGCAGCUGAACUCAUGUUCCUGGCUAGCAGAAGCAAGCUGCAAAACCUCAUAACCCACCCCAGGUUUGACAUAUGAGACCAUCAUGUCACAUUUAAAAGGUUUCUCCUUUUUUCCCCCACUCUAUUCCAGUCUCUGAGCACAUCACCCAAGAAUCAGUCCUUCUUGCUGUCAUUAAUCGAGUUUCUCUGUUCUCAGAUUAGACUCCAGCCUGCAAAAGUCCAACUAGCAAACAUUUUCCCAGCAGCUUUGCCUCCUCCGUGUUGCCAGCAGGAGCCUGCAGCCCAGAUUCGCAGUGAGCAGCCAGCCUCCUCCACCCCACCCUGCUGAUUUAUUGAUAGGAACGAAAUCGCUGUCUGUACUGGGAACAAGCAAGGUGUUUUGGUGUUACCUGCUGAGGGCCUUCAAAGGGAGGGCAUUUGGCAUUACCUUCCCACUGCCUUCAAGCGUUUCUGGGGAAACUGGUAUUUUGAGCCACUGCUGGUUCUUUGUUCUGCAGCCAUUUUUGAUAACUAUAAUAAAUUGUCUGUUAAAAUCAAAUCCCAAUCAGCAGAUCAAAGCACAGUAUUUAUAAUGUAUUACCCCAAAGCAGCUCUGCUUCCAAUACCAUGAUUAUUUAGCAAGAACAGGGGGAUGGAGUCAGAACAACUCAAAGAUGCUCAACUGGGAUGUGCAGUUUUGCUCUAUUUGUCACUGUAGAGUUCAUAACCCAGAAGAUUUUUCAGUGUUUGUAAGACCAAAUCAGUUGCUGGUAAAAGCAAUGAAAUUUGCAGCUAUUUUAACAGGUAUGUGUUCGUUUAAGCCAACAGUGAGUUUGGACCUCAGAAGAGAAUCCUUGUGGUUAUAUUACAGCAACUGCAUAUGGAGUCCAUUAUGUAUACUAGCCUGUGAGCACCACAAGUUUCUAGCUGUCAAAUAACUGCAUAUUCCUCAAAUAAGCAUUGUCUGUAUGAUUAAAAUGAAGUUAUGGAUGAAAUCUGCUGAAGUUUUUUCCAAGAACUUCACAUCAAAAUGUGGAUAUGUUUUAAAGGUUGGAAUUGGAAUUUCA
rnacentral:lncRNA from 1 species